rfam:Mycobacterium ulcerans Agy99, complete genome.
CUUGAUCAGAGUUUCUGGACUUUCAGAUCAUCCACGGGAGGGUGCGCCCACUUUCACGCCCCCUCACCAAAGCU